ensembl:lncRNA
GGUGCAGGACUUCUGAGUUACAACUCUGCAGGUCAGUUACCUGUGCUGGCGGCACGUGAAGGAAAUAAGGACACAUCCAUGCCACUGUUUGAAAUUUUGUCUGACCUGUGGAUUAAACAGUUUUGGAGUGUAGCUUGGCUUUGAAAGAAUAGGCAAGAUUUCUGUCUCAUUAUUUAGCUUGCAAGCCCAAGAAAUUUGCAUUGGCCCUGUUGCCUGUCUAUCCCAUAACAGUCUCUGUGGAUACACACACUCUGUUUUAUUUGCUGGCCCAAAUAUAUGCAACUCCAUCCCUCUCUCUAUCUAUUCCCUUACUUACAACAACACUUCUUUUUGUUAUCAAGGUGCAUCUGGGCCCACCUGCAUCUGAAGACACUUAUCUAAAGCUCACUGGACUCAAGGCAGUAUUCUAAUUGCUUUGCAAGCACUAAGUCAUGUAAUCUACUGUCUCCUACGUGAAUACCAAACAGCCCCCUCACCCUUGAAGAUGUCUUCCAACCUAACUUAAUGAAGGCCAGUCUCCAGGCUUUCCCCAAAUAUGCAAUCCAGUUAAAGGGAUGUUGCUUCAGCAGGUCACAGGCAAUAAAGCCUAUCACCCUGCAUUCUGUGGAGGCCCUGCUUUGAAUCACCAAUGCCUCUGGCUAGUUUCCAAACCCCUCCCAGGCCUCCUCUGCUUCCACCCCAUGAGCCUGGACUGUGGCCACCACACCAUGUUCACACAAUCUUGUCAACCA